AACGAACGCUGGCGGCAUGCCUAACACAUGCAAGUCGAACGAGACCUUCGGGUCUAGUGGCGCACGGGUGCGUAACGCGUGGGAAUCUACCCUUGGGUUCGGAAUAACAGUUAGAAAUGACUGCUAAUACCGUAUGAUGACGUAAGUCCAAAGAUUUAUCGCCCAAGGAUGAGCCCGCGUAAGAUUAGCUUGUUGGUGGGGUAAUGGCCUACCAAGGCGACGAUCUUUAGCUGGUCUGAGAGGAUGAUCAGCCACACUGGGACUGAGACACGGCCCAGACUCCUACGGGAGGCAGCAGUGGGGAAUAUUGGACAAUGGGCGAAAGCCUGAUCCAGCAAUGCCGCGUGAGUGAUGAAGGCCUUAGGGCUGUAAAGCUCUUUUACCAGGGAUGAUAAUGACAGUACCUGGGGAAUAAGCUCCGGCUAACUCCGUGCCAGCCGCCGCCGUAA
rnacentral:rRNA from 1 species